AUUGAACGCUGGCGGCAGGCCUAACACAUGCAAGUCGAGCGGAGCGGCGGACGGGUGAGUAAUGACUAGGAAUAUGCCUGGUAGUGGGGGAUAACUUCCGGAAAGGGGCGCAAAUACCGCAUACUAUAAGAUGGGCCUAGGUCGGAUGAGCUAGUUGGUGGGGUAAAGGCCUACCAAGGCGACGAUCCGUAAUGGGUCUGAGAGGCUGAUCAGUAACACGGGAACUGAGACACGGUCCAGACUCCGACGGGAGGCAGCAGUGGGGAAUAUUGGACAAUGGGCGAAAGCCUGAUCCAGCCAUGCCGCGUGUGUGAAGAAGGUCUUCGGAUUGUAAAGCACUUUAAGUUGGGAGGCGUUACCAACAGAAGAAGCACCGGCUAACUCCGUGCCAGCAGCCGCGGUAAUAC
rnacentral:rRNA from 1 species